UACGGAGGGUGCAAGCGUUUAUCCGGAUUCACUGGGUUUAAAGGGUGCGUAGGUGGGCAAGUAAGUCAGUGGUGAAAUCUCCGGGCUUAACCCGGAAACUGCCAUUGAUACUAUUUGUCUUGAAUACUGUGGAGGUCAGCGGAAUAUGUCAUGUAGCGGUGAAAUGCUUAGAUAUGACAUAGAACACCAAUUGCGAAGGCAGCUGGCUACACAAAUAUUGACACUGAGGCACGAAAGCGUGGGGAUCAAACAGG
rnacentral:rRNA from 1 species